AGGUUUGGUGCUGCUGUCACAGUAAUUCUCAGGAACUUCCUCAUGUGUGACUCUGUUGACACAGUGGAAAACUGGGUACUGGGACCCUUUCCCACAUGUAGUGGUACACUCAGUUUUUCCGAUCUGUUUCCAGUUGUAUUCUCGGUUUUGUCUUGAUAGCUGCACAGCAGGCACCUGGUUUUCUGGCUGAUGAGAAGGAAAUCUUCCUGGCGGAAUAACUGGAAACGUUCCAACUGACUGCCCAGUGAGAGUGUCUGUCUCCCUAUGCAAAUCGUCCUCAUUGUGAUUUGUACUUUCAGGCAUUUCUAACUGACCAUUCAAGGGCUCCCCUGGCCUCCUGUGAGCAAGCAACUGAGGACUGAUGACAUUGUCUCCUGGAAUGAUAUACUCAUAAUGUAUACCUGGGUUAGGCUGCUGAUGUAUCAUAUAGACAUCAAGGACUUCAUUUGUUGGACCAUCCGCUAAAAAGGACUCUCCUGCAGUGCUGGAGAUUUCAUUUGGGCGUUUGUAAGUGAACAUUGUCCCACCACCUUCAUAUCUUCCAGGCCGAUCAAUUGCCCAGUUUCCAUUGAUGAUGGACCGCCCUGAUCGACUCCGCAAGGCCAAAUAGUUGUUGCUCUUUGACAUCUCAGUAAUGUUAAUUUUAGUAGCUCCUUCAGGAAUUUCCACUAUCUUGUGAUAGCCGAGAUUUGUUAGGGUGUGUUUGAAAACUCCAGAAACAACCUUGCAAGCAGUGUUGUCCCCUCC
rnacentral:lncRNA from 1 species